CCUUCAGCACCUCAGCUCCAGCGCCAUGGCGACCUCCAGGAAGUUCGUUGGGGGGAACUGGAAGAUGAACCGACGGAAGAAGAGCCUGGGGGAGCUCAUCCGCACUCUGAAGGCGGCCAAGGUGCCGGCCAACACUGAGGUGGUUUGCACUCUCCCCACUGCCUAUACCGACUUUGCCCCAGAAGCUAGAGCCCAAGAUUGCUGUGGCUGCGCAGAACUGCUACAAAGUAACUAACGGGGCCUUUACUUGGGAGAUCAGCCCUGGCAUGAUCAAAGACUGCAAAGCCAAUCGAGGGUCCUGGGGCACUCAGAGAGUAGGCAUGUCUUUGGGGAGUCAGAUAAGCUGAUUGGGCAGAAAGUGGCCCAUGCUCUGGCAAAGGGACUCAGAGUAAUCGCUUGCACUGGGGAGAAGCUAGCUGAAAGGGAAGUGGCAUCACUGAGAAGUUUGUUUUCGAGAAGAAAGAGGUCAUCGCAGAUAACGUGAAGGACUGGAGCAAGGUCGUCCUGGCCUGCGAGCCUGUGUGGGCCAUUGGUACCAGCAAGACUGCAACACCCCAGAAGGCCCAGGAAGUACACGAGAAGUUCUGAGAAUGGUGUCCAACAUCUCUGAUGUGGUGGCUCAGAGCACCCGUAUCCAUUUAUGGAGGCUCUGUGAUGGGGGCAACCUGCAAGGAGCUGGCCAGCCAGCCUGAAGUGGAUGGCUUCCUCGUGGGUGAUGCUUCCCUCAAGCCCUAAUUCGUGGACAUCAUCAAUGCCAAACAAUGAGCCCCAUCCAUCUUCCCUACCCUUCCUGCCAAGCCAGGGACUAAGCAGCCCAGAAGCCCAGUAACUGCCCCUCCCCUGCACAUGUUUCUGAUGGUGUCAUCUGCCCCCUCUUGCGGCCUCAUCCAAACUGUACCUUCCUUUACUGUUUAUAUCUUCACCCUGUAAUGGUUGGGACCAGGCCACUCCCUUCUCCACUUAGUAUAAUCGUUGGAACUAGACGUCACCAAGGUGGCUUCUCCUUGGCUGAGAGGUGGAAGGGGCAGGAUUUGCUGCUGGGUCCCCUAGGCCCUAAUGAGGGAAGGAGAGAAACCAUCCUCUUCCUUCUUACACCCUGAGGCCAAGAUCCUCCCCUCGGAAGCCAUGAGUGCUGCCCUCUCCCACGGUGCCCGCGCCUGUGUGUGCUGUGUAUGUGAACCACCCACGUGUGAGGGAAUAAACACCUGGCACUA